UGUCGCCUUCGUACUUUUAUUCGAUGGCAACACGACGGGAUUACGAGGUCUUUACGAAGUCGUGUUGCCAUCGUUAGACCUUCGGGUAGCUUCGUGAUUCAUUCGUGUAGACAUCGUAAUGUCAAAACUGCCCGAUGGAAACGAUGGAAAUACGAAUGCAAUACGAUGUUCAAAGAUGCAUUCCCGGUGACAUUACGAUGGUGAGGAUGGUG
rnacentral:lncRNA from 1 species